UACGAAGGGGGCUAGCGUUGCUCGGAAUUACUGGGCGUAAAGGGCGCGUAGGCGGACAGUUUAGUCAGAGGUGAAAGCCCAGGCUCAACCUUGGAAUUGCCUUUGAUACUGGCUGUCUUGAGUUUGGUAGAGAUCCGUGGAAUUCCGAGUGUAGCAGUGAAAUGUGUAGAUAUUCGGAAGAACACCAGCGGCGAAGGCAGCGGGAUUGGGCCAAUACUGACGCUCAGGCACGAAAGCAUGGGGAUCAAACAGG
rnacentral:rRNA from 1 species